UCAAGGAAAACGUUUCUCCCUCUUCUUCAUUUUCUUGAAUUCUUAAUUCCCAAGAGCUUUUAUAUUUUGUUUCUUGCAUCUACCAUGUUAACGUCCUUUUACAAGCUUUUUAAAUUCUUUAUUUAUGACAAUGUAAAUUUCCUUAGUUAAUUCUGAUUGUUUCCAUUUUUCAUAUUCAACAUUAGUAACUUCUUUUCACAAUCUUUUCACAUUCUUCACCGUACUCUAUAUAAGUGUACAAUAAGAUGUCUUUGUUCCAUUAUCCUUUGUAAAUUCUUACGGCAAGAAAUUUCUUUUUUCCCAAAAGAGUAUACUUCACUCACCAGUAUUUGUAAACAGAUGAAAGGAGUCAUAAUCUUGAAUCAAGUAAAGGGUUCUUCUUUACACCAUGAAAUGAAUUAUGAUUUACUAGCCACCCUAAGGAAGACCUAUGUUGAUCGAAUUUCUAUACAACUUCUACAAGUUACAACUUUCACCUGACAACAGCUUCUUGAUAUGUAUGCGACUGUAAAACUAAGAAGGAUUCAAUUUCUUAAAGACAAAGCAGGAACUUCUAGAUGUGAAGUAUCCACAACUAUAGUCGACGUUGCUCAUAUUCAAAUGUAAACUACAUGUUGUCCAAAUAUAAAGAGGCAAUGAAAAUAUCAAAUUGAAUAUUUGGUAUGACAAUCAUAUUUAUAUAGCUAUAUUUGUUGUUUAAAUAAUAUCAA